rnacentral:tRNA from 1 species
GGCUGUAUUGGCUCAGCUGGUCAGAGUGUGAUGCUAAUAACGCCAAGGUCAUGGGUUCAGUCCCCAUACUGGCCA